GACGAAGGAUGCAAGCGUUAUCCGGAUUCAUUGGGUUUAAAGGGAGCGUAGGUGGCCAAAUAAGUCAGUGGUGAAAUCCUGUUGCUUAACAACAGAAUUGCCAUUGAUACUGUAUGGCUUGAGUACAGUUGCUGUGGGCGGAAUAUGACAUGUAGUGGUGAAAUACAUAGAUAUUAGGAAGAACACCGGUGGCGAAGGCGGCCCACUGGAUCGGUACUGACGCUGAGGUGCGAAAGCGUGGGGAGCAAACAGG
rnacentral:rRNA from 1 species